UAGAGUUUGAUCCUGGCUCAGACUGAACGCUGGCGGCAUGCCUUACACAUGCAAGUCGAACGGCAGCACGGGAGCAAUCCUGGUGGCGAGUGGCGAACGGGUGAGUAAUAUAUCGGAACGUGCCCAGUCGUGGGGGAUAACGCAGCGAAAGCUGUGCUAAUACCGCAUACGAUCUCUGGAUGAAAGCGGGGGACCUGCAAGGGCCUCGCGCGAUUGGAGCGGCCGAUAUCAGAUUAGCUAGUUGGUGGGGUAAAAGCUCACCAAGGCGACGAUCUGUAGCUGGUCUGAGAGGACGACCAGCCACACUGGAACUGAGACACGGUCCAGACUCCUACGGGAGGCAGCAGUGGGGAAUUUUGGACAAUGGGCGCAAGCCUGAUCCAGCAAUGCCGCGUGCAGGAUGAAGGCCUUCGGGUUGUAAACUGCUUUUGUACGGAACGAAAAGGCUCUUUUUAAUAAAGAGGGCUCAUGACGGUACCGUAAGAAUAAGCACCGGCUAACUACGUGCCAGCAGCCGCGGUAAUACGUAGGGUGCGAGCGUUAAUCGGAAUUACUGGGCGUAAAGCGUGCGCAGGCGGUUUUGUAAGACAGAUGUGAAAUCCCCGGGCUCAACCUGGGACCUGCAUUUGUGACUGCAAGGCUAGAGUACGGUAGAGGGGGAUGGAAUUCCGCGUGUAGCAGUGAAAUGCGU
rnacentral:rRNA from 1 species